AUUGAACGCUGGCGGCAUGCUUUACACAUGCAAGUCGAGCGGCAGCGCGGGGCAACCUGGCGGCGAGCGGCGAACGGGUGAGUAAUGCAUCGGAACAUGUCCAUAUCGUGGGGGAUAGCCCGGCGAAAGCCGGAUUAAUACCGCAUACGCCCGAGAGGGGAAAGCAGGGGACCGCAAGGCCUUGCGCGAUUGGGUUGGCCGAUGUCCGAUUAGCUUGUUGGUGAGGUAAAGGCUUACCAAGGCGAUGAUCGGUAGCUGGUCUGAGAGGAUGAUCAGCCACACUGGGACUGAGACACGGCCCAGACUCCUACGGGAGGCAGCAGUGGGGAAUUUUGGACAAUGGGGGCAACCCUGAUCCAGCCAUUCCGCGUGAGUGAAGAAGGCCUUCGGGUUGUAAAGCUCUUUUGUCCGGAGCGAAACGGUCGUGGUGAAUAUCCGCGACUACUGACGGUACCGGAAGAAUAAGCACCGGCUAACUACGUGCCAGCAGCCGCGGUAAUACGUAGGGUGCGAGCGUUAAUCGGAAUUACUGGGCGUAAAGCGUGCGCAGGCGGUUUUGUAAGCCAGAUGUGAAAUCCCCGGGCUUAACCUGGGAAUGGCAUUUGGGACUGCAAGGCUGGAGUAUGGC
rnacentral:rRNA from 1 species